rnacentral:rRNA from 1 species
AACGUACGCUGGCGGCACGCCUAACACAUGCAAGUCGAACGAAGUAGCAAUACUUAGUGGCAGACGGGUGAGUAACAUGUGGGUAUCUGCCCUUUGGCCUGGAAUAACACGAGGAAACUUGUGCUAAUACCGGAUAAGUCUUUACGGAGAAAGCUUUAUGCACCAUUGGAUGAGCCCGCACUUGAUUAGUUUGUUGGUGGGGUAAUGGCCUACCAAGACUGUGAUCAAUAGCUGAUUUGAGAGGAUGAUCAGCCACAUUGGGACUGAGACACGGCCCAAACUCCUACGGGAGGCAGCAGUGGGGAAUCUUGCACAAUGGAGGAAACUCUGAUGCAGCGAUGCCGCGUGAGUGAAGAAGGCCCUUGGGUUGUAAAGCUCUUUCGUCGGGGAAGAAAAUGACUGUACCCGAAUAAGAAGGUCCGGCUAACUUCGUGCCAGCAGCCGCGGUAAUACGAAGGGACCUAGCGUAGUUCGGAAUUACUGGGCUUAAAGAGUUCGUAGGUGGUUGAAAAAGUUGGUGGUGAAAUCCCAGAGCUUAACUCUGGAACUGCCAUCAAAACUUUUCAGCUAGAGUAUGAUAGAGGAAAGCAGAAUUUCUAGUGUAGAGGUGAAAUUCGUAGAUAUUAGAAAGAAUACCAAUUGCGAAGGCAGCUUUCUGGAUCAUUACUGACACUGAGGAACGAAAGCAUGGGUAGCGAAGAGGAUUAGAUACCCUCGUAGUCCAUGCCGUAAACGAUGUGUGUUAGACGUUGGAAAUUUAUUUUCAGUGUCGCAGCGAAAGCGAUAAACACACCGCCUGGGGAGUACGACCGCAAGGUUAAAACUCAAAUGAAUUGACGGGGACCCGCACAAGUAGUGGAGCAUGUGGUUUAAUUCGAAGAUACGCGCAGAACCUUACCAACACUUGACAUGUUCGUCGCGACUCUAAGAGAUUAGAGUUUUCGGUUCGGCCGGACGAAACACAGGUGCUGCAUGGCUGUCGUCAGCUCGUGUCGUGAGAUGUUGGGUUAAGUCCCGCAACGAGCGCAACCCUCACUUUUAGUUGCCAUCAUUAAGUUGGGCACUCUGAAAGAACUGCCAGUGAUAAGCUGGAGGAAGGUGGGGAUGACGUCAAGUCCUCAUGGCCCUUACGUGUUGGGCUACACACGUGCUACAAUGGUAUCUACAACAGGAAGCAAGACUGCGAAGUUAAGCAAAUCCCUAAAAGAUACCUCAGUUCGGAUUGCACUCUGCAACUCGAGUGCAUGAAGCUGGAAUUACUAGUAAUCGUGGAUCAGCGUGCCACGGUGAAUGCGUUCCCGGGUCU